rnacentral:rRNA from 1 species
CCUUCGGGAACUGUGAGACAGGUGCUGCAUGGCUGUCGUCAGCUCGUGUUGUGAAAUGUUGGGUUAAGUCCCGCAACGAGCGCAACCCUUAUCCUUUGUUGCCAGCGGUCCGGCCGGGAACUCAAAGGAGACUGCCAGUGAUAAACUGGAGGAAGGUGGGGAUGACGUCAAGUCAUCAUGGCCCUUACGACCAGGGCUACACACGUGCUACAAUGGCGCAUACAAAGAGAAGCGACCUCGCGAGAGCAAGCGGACCUCAUAAAGUGCGUCGUAGUCCGGAUUGGAGUCUGCAACUCGACUCCAUGAAGUCGGAAUCGCUAGUAAUCGUGGAUCAGAAUGCCACGGUGAAUACGUUCCCGGGCCUUGUACACACCGCCCGUCACACCAUGGGAGUGGGUUGCAAAAGAAGUAGGUAGCUUAACCUUCGGGAGGGCGCUUACCACUUUGUGAUUCAUGACUGGGGUGAAGUCGUAACAAGGUAACCGUAGGGGAACCUGCGGUUGGAUCAC